rnacentral:tRNA from 1 species
GGUUAAUUUGAUAUAUUGGUAUUAUCAAACUAUUUGCUAUAUAGUUUCCAAAAGGAGUCAGUGUUCGAUUCACUGAUUAACCG